rnacentral:rRNA from 1 species
UACGUAGGCAGCAAGCGUUGUUCGGAGUUACUGGGCGUAAAGGGUGCGUAGGCGGCUUUUAAGUUUGGUGUGAAAUCUCCCGGCUCAACUGGGAGGGUGCGCCGAAUACUGAGAGGCUAGAGUGUGGGAGAGGAAAGUGGAAUUCCCGGUGUAGCGGUGAAAUGCGUAGAUAGUCGGGAGGAACACCUGUGGCGAAAGCGGCUCACUGGACCACAACUGACGCUGAGGCGCGAAAGCUAGGGGAGCAAACAGG